rnacentral:rRNA from 1 species
GACAGAGGUGCCAAGCGUUAGGCGGAAUCACUGGGCUUAAAGCGUGUGUAGGCGGAUCGUUAAGUACCUUGUGAAAUCCCACGGCUCAACCGUGGAACUGCUGGGCAUACUGCGGGUCUUGGGCCAACUAGGGGCAGCCGGAACAAGCGGUGGAGCGGUGAAAUGCGUAGAUAUCGCUUGGAACGCCGAAGGUGAAAACAGGCUGCUGGGGUUGCGCCGACGCUGAGACACGAAAGCCAGGGGAGCAAACGGG